rnacentral:rRNA from 1 species
AUGGCUCAAGAUAAUACUAAAUUGUGUGACUUCACCAAUACCAACAAUAAUGAUUUUAUUAGCACUCUGAUUGCUCCUCUUACCGAUGCUGAAUCUUGUGAAAUUAAUACUGCUUUGCUAAAUCUUGUCAUGAAAGAUCCGUUUUCCGGCCUUCCUUGUGAAGAUGCCGCUGCCCAUCUAAAUAGCUUCUUUGAUUUGUGUGACAUGCAAAAUAAGAAAGACGUGGAUAAUGAUAUUGUUAAAUUGAAGCCAUUUCCUUUUUCGCUUAGAGAUCGUGCUAAAUCUUGGUUUUCGUCUUUGCCUAAAAAUAGUAUUGAUUCAUGGAACAAGUGCAAAGAUGCUUUUAUCUCUAAGUAUUUUCCUCCCGCUAAGAUCAUCUCUCUUAGAAACGAUAUUAUGAAUUUUAAGCAACUUGAUCAUGAACAUGUUGCACAAGCUUGGGAGAGAAUGAAAUUAAUGAUACAUAAUUGCCCUACUCAUGGUUUAAAUUUGUGGAUGAUUAUACAAUUUUUUAUGCCGGAUUGA